rnacentral:rRNA from 1 species
AACGAACGCUGGCGGCAUGGAUUAGGCAUGCAAGUCGAACGCAUACCUUCGGGUAUGAGUGGCGAAAGGGUGAGGAACACGUGAGUAACCUGCCCUCAAGUUGGGAAUAACAUCUGGAAACGGGUGCUAAUACCGAAUGUGGUUGUGAUUUCGCAUGGGAUUGCAACGAAAGAUUUAUCGCUUGAGGAUGGGCUCGCGUCCCAUUAGCUAGUUGGUGAGGUAACGGCCCACCAAGGCAACGAUGGGUAGCUGGUCUGAGAGGAUGGUCAGCCACACUGGGACUGAGACACUGCCCAGACUCCUACGGGAGGCUGCAGUCGAGAAUCUUCCGCAAUGCGCGAAAGCGUGAC